rnacentral:rRNA from 1 species
AUUGAACGCUGGCGGCAGGCCUAACACAUGCAAGUCGAGCGAGCGGCGGACGGGUGAGUAAUGUAUGGGGACUGCCCGAUAGAGGGGGAUAACUACUGGAAACGGUAGCUAAUACCGCAUACUAUCGGAUAACCCAUAUGGGAUUAGCUAGUAGGUGAGGGAAUGGCUCACCUAGGCGACGCUCCCUAGCUGGUCUGGGAGGAUGAUCAGCCACACUGGGACUGAGAAACGGCCACGAGUCCUACGGAGGCAGCAGUGGGGAAUCUUGCACAAUGGGCGGAAGCCGGAUUCAGCCAUGGCGCGUGUAUGAAGAAGGCCCUAGGGUUGGAAAGGACUUUCAGUCGGGAGGCGUUACCGACAGAAGGAGCACCGGGUAACUCCGUGCCAGCAGCCGCGGUAAUAC